UUUGUCUUUUAUGAAAAUGAAAAGUGAAGAUAAAAUAGAAGAUAAAGUUCUUACCAUUAUUCAGUGCCUUCCACUGACACAAUAGUUAGACGCUUGGAUACACUUGUUCCAGAAAAACUGAACUGACCCUAAUCAAUGCAUGGUUGUCCUGGUGACAGGUCAAGGGAGAAUUUACAUGGGACUCAUCCACCAACUGGCUUUUCAGCCCUGUGAUGGACCAUUUCUCCGUCUGCGGCCCAAUAUAUUGGAUAUAUUGGAUAUAUAAUGGAUGUGUGGAUAAGAAUCUAAUUAUAUAUUUUUUCACUUAACAAAAGAAA